GACUCCCGGAAGCUGAUGGCGGCCAGGACCGCACGGACAGCUGGACGAAGGCGAGAGGUAAGAUUGUAGUUUGAGGGCUUAGUGGAGAAGGCGAAGACCGUGGGAGCAAGGGGGAAUGGGUCUCGAAUGUAGGGCAUUUUGUGGGUCGGAAGAGACCCCCAACUUUGCUUUCUUUUUCCGCAGUGACCAUGACGAAACUAGCUCAAUGGCUUUGGGCAUUGGCGCUCCUGGGCUCGGCUUGGGCCGCCCUGACCAUGGGAGCUCUGGGCCUGGACCUGCCCUCGCCCUGCCGGGAAGUCCUGUGGCCAUUGCCCGCCUACUUGCUGGUGUCCGCAGGCUGCUAUGCUCUGGGCACUGUGGGGUAUCGCGUGGCCACUUUUCAUGACUGCGAGGAUGCCGCCCGUGAGCUGCAGAGCCAGAUUCAGGAGGCCCGAGCUGAUUUAGCCUGCAGGGGGCUACGCUUCUGACACUCUAAACCCAUUCCCGCGUGGACAACCCUCCCUCACAUUCCCCAUUAAAGAGCAAAUUUAUUUUUUAACUCUUGUUUAGUUUUGAGUACGCAGAAUGGGAAUUGCGGAUGCUGUAUACCAGUGGUCGUGAGAAGAUGCCUUUCCUGAGGCCAUCUCAGCCUUUACCUUUGCAUCUGGUUGGUGUUCCCCAGUUUUGCUCAAAAAGAGGCAAAACCCAGAGCUGGGUUGUAGCUCAGUGGUAGAGCGCUUGCCAUCCUCAGCUCCACGUAAAAAUAAAUAAAUAAAGGCAUUGUGUCCAUCUACAAAUUAAAAAAAAGGCAAAACCCCUUCUCAAGAACUCUCCAGGGCUGGGGAUGUGGCUCAAGCGGUAGUGCGCUCGCCUGGCAUGCAUGCGGCCCGGGUUCGAUCCUCAGCACCACAUACAAAAAACAAAGAUGUUGUGUCUGCCGAAAACUAAA
rnacentral:lncRNA from 1 species